GAACGCUGGCGGCGUGCUACACAUGCAAGUCGAACGAAGAGCGAUGGAAGCUUGCUUCUAUCAAUCUUAGUGGCGAACGGGUGAGUAACGCGUAAUCAACCUGCCCUUCAGAGGGGGACAACAGUUGGAAACGACUGCUAAUACCGCAUACGAUCCAAUCUCGGCAUCGAGACUGGAUGAAAGGUGGCCUCUAUUUAUAAGCUAUCACUGAAGGAGGGGAUUGCGUCUGAUUAGCUAGUUGGAGGGGUAACGGCCCACCAAGGCGAUGAUCAGUAGCCGGUCUGAGAGGAUGAACGGCCACAUUGGGACUGAGACACGGCCCAGACUCCUACGGGAGGCAGCAGUGGGGAAUCUUCCGCAAUGGACGAAAGUCUGACGGAGCAACGCCGCGUGAGUGAUGACGGCCUUCGGGUUGUAAAGCUCUGUUAAUCGGGACGAAUGGUUCUUGUGCGAAUAGUGCGAGGAUUUGACGGUACCGGAAUAGAAAGCCACGGCUAACUAUGUGCCAGCAGCCGCGGUAAUACGUAGGUGGCAAGCGUUGUCCGGAAUUAUUGGGCGUAAAGCGCGCGCAGGCGGAUUGGUCAGUCUGUCUUAAAAGUUCGGGGCUUAACCCCGUGAUGGGAUGGAAACUGCCAAUCUAGAGUAUCGGAGAGGAAAGUGGAAUUCCUAGUGUAGCGGUGAAAUGCGUAGAUAUUAGGAAGAACACCAGUGGCGAAGGCGACUUUCUGGACGAAAACUGACGCUGAGGCGCGAAAGCGUGGG
rnacentral:rRNA from 1 species